UUUUAAAUUUUUUUUUUCAACGUUUAUUUAUUUUUCGGACAGAGAGAGACAGAGCAUGAACGGGGGAGGGGCAGAGAGAGAGGGAGACACAGAAUCGGAAACAGGCUCCAGGCUCUGAGCCAUCAGCCCAGAGCCCGACGCGGGGCUCGAACUCACGGACCGCGAGAUCGUGACCUGGCUGAAGUCGGAUGCUUAACCGACUGCGCCACCCAGGCGCCCCUCUUUUAUCUUUUAAAUUAAGUGAUGGAGUACCUGGGAGGUUCAGUCUGUUGAGCAUCCAACUCUUUUCUUUUUUUCUUUUUUUUUUUUUUUUGAGAGAGCGGGUAGAGAGAGAGGGAGAGAGAGAAUCCCAAGGAGGCUCCACACCAUCAGUGCAGAGCCUGAUGUGAGCCUUGGACUCACAAACUGUGAGGUCAUGACCUGAGCCAAAAUCAAGAGCUGGAUGCCUGAAAGAUGAGCCACCCAGGCGCCCCUGAGCAUCCAACUCUUGAUUUCAGCUCAGGUCAUGACCCCGGGAGUUAUGGGAUUGAACCCUGAGUCGGGCUCUGUGCUGGGCAUGGAACCUGCUUCCAAUUGUCUCUCUCCCUCUGCCCCUCUCUUCUGCCUGUGCUCUCUCUCUCCCUCAAAGUAAAUAAAUAAAUAAACAGACACAUAAAAUAAAACUGAAGUGAUAUUCACAGAACAUAAAGUUAACCAUUUUUAAAUUUUUAUAAAUUAAAAAAGAAUUUUCAAAUGUUUAUUUUUGGGAGAGAGAUAGAGACAGAGAGACAGAGCAUGAGUGGAGGAGGGGUAGAGAGAGAGGGAGACACAGAAUCCGAAGCAGGCUCCAGGCUCUGAGCUGUCAGCCCAGAGCCCGACGUGGGGCUCGAACCCAUGAACGGUGAGAUCAUGACCUCAGCUGAGGUCCGAGGCUUAACCGAUUUGAGUCACCCAGGCGCCUCCAUAAUCUUUUGUAAAGUAAACAAUUCAGGGGCCUUUAGUGCAUUCUUAACAGUGUGCAAGCACCACCUCUAUCUGGUUCUAGAACAUUCCAUCAUCCCACAGUACAAGCUAGACUCCUGUUCUAGAACCCUCCUCAAGUCUGUCUUCCCGCCCCGUGGCCGUGCUCCCCUCAGGACCACCAGCUCCCAACCCAGGGCCCACGAGCCUCAGACUCAGUCCUGCCUUUGGUUUCCGUCCCAGGUCCCCAGGCCAGGAGCACCUCUGACCACAAGACAAGUCCUCCUGGGGCUGGAACUGAGAAACGCAGAAGGUCCCCAGGGAGAAAGGCAGACACACCGUGUCCUCGCGCGUGGGGUGACACCGACGGACGAGGAGAGCCCAGGAGCUGGACAAAACAGUAGAGCCACACGGGAUGGCCCAGGGACAGCCAUUUCUGGGCAGGCUGCCGUGGGGAAGCUUGUGAGGAGGCGGGAGCCAGAGCCCAUGGCAGGGUUGGGGUCAGGGAGCCAGCACGGGGGCCCCCGAGGACUCUGUGUACCUCCUGCUCAAGUCACAUCAACAGGAGCGCUAGCAGAACCGGUGAGGCUGGUAUUUUCCAGAGCGCCUCCACACUUACAGUCAUUUGGCCUCCACAAAAGUCUCCGGAAACGACCCGCUGCCCGUGCGACAUGUGAAUCCCCGUGA
ensembl:lncRNA